CAGCAGUCGCCGCGGGAAUACGGAGGAUCCAAGCGUUAUCCGGAAUCAUUGGGUUUAAAGGGUCCGUAGGCGGUCUUGUAAGUCAGUGGUGAAAGCCCAUCGCUCAACGGUGGAACGGCCAUUGAUACUGCAGGACUUGAAUUAUUGGGAAGUAACUAGAAUAUGUAGUGUAGCGGUGAAAUGCUUAGAGAUUACAUGGAAUACCAAUUGCGAAGGCAGGUUACUACCAAUUGAUUGACGCUGAUGGACGAAAGCGUGGGUAGCGAACAGGAUUAGAUACCCCAGUAGUCCCUGUCUCUUAUAC
rnacentral:rRNA from 1 species